rnacentral:rRNA from 1 species
UACGGAGGGUGCAAGCGUUAUUCGGAAUUACUGGGCGUAAAGCGAACGCAGGCGGUUUGUUAAGUCAGAUGUGAAAUCCCCCGGCUCAACCGGGGAACUGCAUUUGAUACUGGCUAGCUUGAGUCUGGUAGAGGGGGGUGGAAUUCCAGGUGUAGCGGUGAAAUGCGUAGAUAUCUGGAAGAAUACCAGUGGCGAAGGCGGCUCACUGGACGAAGACUGACGCUGAGGGGCGAAAGCGUGGGGAGCAAACAGG